UUACCGAGUUUACAACUCCCAAACCCCUGUGAACAUACCUAUACGUUGCCUCGGCGGAUCAGCCCGCGCCCCGUAAAACGGGACGGCCCGCCCGAGGACCCCUAAACUCUGUUUUUAGUGGAACUUCUGAGUAAAACAAACAAAUAAAUCAAAACUUUCAACAACGGAUCUCUUGGUUCUGGCAUCGAUGAAGAACGCAGCAAAAUGCGAUAAGUAAUGUGAAUUGCAGAAUUCAGUGAAUCAUCGAAUCUUUGAACGCACAUUGCGCCCGCCAGUAUUCUGGCGGGCAUGCCUGUUCGAGCGUCAUUUCAACCCUCAAGCUCAGCUUGGUGUUGGGACUCGCGGUAACCCGCGUUCCCCAAAUCGAUUGGCGGUCACGUCGAGCUUCCAUAGCGUAGUAAUCAUACACCUCGUUACUGGUAAUCGUCGCGGCCACGCCGUUAAACCCCAACUUCUGAAUGUUGACCUCGGAUCAGGUAGGAAUACCCGCUGAACUUAAGCAUAUCAAUAAGCGGAGGAAAAGAAACCAACAGGGAUUGCCCUAGUAACGGCGAGUGAAGCGGCAACAGCUCAAAUUUGAAAUCUGGCUCUCGGGCCCGAGUUGUAAUUUGUAGAGGAUGCUUUUGAUGCGGUGCCUUCCGAGUUCCCUGGAACGGGACGCCAUAGAGGGUGAGAGCCCCGUCUGGUUGGAUGCCAAAUCUCUGUAAAGCUCCUUCGACGAGUCGAGUAGUUUGGGAAUGCUGCUCUAAAUGGGAGGUAUAUGUCUUCUAAAGCUAAAUACCGGCCAGAGACCGAUAGCGCACAAGUAGAGUGAUCGAAAGAUGAAAAGCACUUUGAAAAGAGAGUUAAAAAGUACGUGAAAUUGUUGAAAGGGAAGCGUUUAUGACCAGACUUGGGCUUGGUUAAUCAUCUGGGGUUCUCCCCAGUGCACUUUUCCAGUCCAGGCCAGCAUCAGUUUUCGCCGGGGGAUAAAGGCUUCGGGAAUGUGGCUCUCUCCGGGGAGUGUUAUAGCCCGUUGCGUAAUACCCUGGCGGGGACUGA
rnacentral:rRNA from 1 species